rnacentral:rRNA from 1 species
UGGGGAAUUUUGGACAAUGGGCGAAAGCCUGAUCCAGCAAUGCCGCGUGUGUGAAGAAGGCCUUCGGGUUGUAAAGCACUUUUGUCCGGAAAGAAAUCCUUGGCUCUAAUACAGUCGGGGGAUGACGGUACCGGAAGAAUAAGCACCGGCUAACUACGUGCCAGCAGCCGCGGUAAUACGUAGGGUGCAAGCGUUAAUCGGAAUUACUGGGCGUAAAGCGUGCGCAGGCGGUUUGCUAAGACCGAUGUGAAAUCCCCGGGCUCAACCUGGGAACUGCAUUGGUGACUGGCAGGCUAGAGUAUGGCAGAGGGGGGUAGAAUUCCACGUGUAGCAGUGAAAUGCGUAGAGAUGUGGAGGAAUACCGAUGGCGAAGGCAGCCCCCUGGGCCAAUACUGACGCUCAUGCACGAAAAGCGUGGGGAGCAAAACAGGAUUAGAUACCCUGGUAGUCCACGCCCUAAACGAUGUCAACUAGUUGUUGGGGAUUCAUUUCCUUAGUAACGUAGCUAACGCGUGAAGUUGACCGCCUGGGGAGUACGGUCGCAAGAUUAAAAACUCAAAGGAAUUGACGGGGUCAUAGCUGUUUCCU